rnacentral:rRNA from 1 species
GAUGAACGCUGGCGGCGUGCCUAACACAUGCAAGUCGAGCGAUUCUCUUCGGAGAAGAGCGGCGGACGGGUGAGUAACGCGUGGGUAACCUGCCCUGUACACACGGAUAACAUACCGAAAGGUAUGCUAAUACGGGAUAACAUAAGAAAUUCGCAUGUUUUUCUUAUCAAAGCUCCGGCGGUACAGGAUGGACCCGCGUCUGAUUAGCUAGUUGGUGAGGUAAUGGCUCACCAAGGCGACGAUCAGUAGCCGACCUGAGAGGGUGAUCGGCCACAUUGGAACUGAGACACGGUCCAAACUCCUACGGGGGGCAGCAGUGGGGAAUAUUGCACAAUGGGCGAAAGCCUGAUGCAGCAGCGCCGCGUGAGCGAUGAAGGCCUUCGGGUCGUAAAGCUCUGUCCUCAAGGAAGAUAAUGACGGUACUUGAGGAGGAAGCCCCGGCUAACUACGUGCCAGCCGCCGCCGUAA